AACGAACGCUGGCGGCGUGCCUAACACAUGCAAGUCGAGCGAGAAAGUCCCCGCAAGGGGAUGAGUAAAGCGGCGAACGGGUGAGUAACACGUGGGCAACCUGCCCUUCAGUCAGGAAUAACCCCGCGAAAGCGGGGCUAAUACCGGAUGACGUCCUUUGGGGGCAUCCUCGGGGGACCAAAGGGGGCGAGCGAAAGCGGCUCCCGCUGACGGAUGGGCCGGCGGCUGAUUAGCUAGUUGGUGGGGUAGCGGCCUACCAAGGCGACGAUCAGUAGCCGACCUGAGAGGGUGACCGGCCACACUGGGACUGAGACACGGCCCAGACUCCUACGGGAGGCAGCAGUGGGGAAUAUUGCGCAAUGGGCGAAAGCCUGACGCAGCGACGCCGCGUGGGUGAUGAAGGCCUUCGGGUCGUAAAACCCUGUCGGGUGGAACGAAUCUCCGCUUCUCUAAUACAGGAGUGGAUUGACGGUACCACCGAAGGAAGCCCCGGCUAACUACGUGCCAGCAGCCGCCGUAAAAC
rnacentral:rRNA from 1 species